AAAAUAAUUACGUGGCAAGAAGAUCAAUGUACACAUAGCCCAUUCUAAUUUUUCCACUUACGAUAUAGUAUUUGAACUUGUAAUAAGAGAAAGCCACUAAAAUAAAAAGUCCUAAUUGUAAAUUAGAGCCCAACCCAUUAAAGAGUUAAACGAAGAUGAAGGAUGAUUUUGCUGAUUUCGAUUCUUUCCCCAUCGUAUAUCCAAGCCUCCACCAUCUUCUGUGAUACAUCUGCCAAUAAGCCGGAUCUCAGUUCGUGGUGUUCCCAAAGGGGUUUAACGGCAUGUAUCCUCUUGGAGCAAGCUUUGAAAUUCUCGAUUGAUGCUCGAAUGGCUAAGUAUCAACAUCUGCCAAUGAAAUUCCUGGAUCAGAACCUAGACUCACCAUGCGAUUUUGUAAGGCCGCACAUCGCUUAGAUAUGCAAAUGAAACAACCAUGGAGACAUUAUACAGUUUUUUUUGCUGUAUGUAAAAGGAAAGUCUCAAAUAAGGAAGGAUCUGAUUCAAAAUAAUUCGGGUCAAAAUAGGAAGGAUCUGAUUAAUGCGGGACCUUUAGACAUUGUUAGGAUUUGGUUGUUUAGGGAAGUUGCAUAUAUAGUGAAAGAUAAUAUAUUGCCGAAAUCUUUGCA